rnacentral:rRNA from 1 species
UACGAAGGGGGCUAGCGUUGUUCGGAUUUACUGGGCGUAAAGCGCACGUAGGCGGAUCGUUAAGUCGGGGGUGAAAUCCUGGAGCUCAACUCCAGAACUGCCUUCGAUACUGGCGAUCUUGAGUCCGGAAGAGGUGAGUGGAACUCCUAGUGUAGAGGUGGAAUUCGUAGAUAUUGGGAAGAACACCGGUGGCGAAGGCGGCUAUCUGGACCGUAACUGACGCUGAGGCGCGAAAGCGUGGGGAGCAAACAGG